rnacentral:lncRNA from 1 species
ACAAUGAUAAAUGAGGCGGCACGCGUGCCAACGACCCAUGUUGGGGAUAACAAGCCAUGAGCAUGCUAUCCUCUAUUCAACCCUAGCAAACGAACAAUUCGCGCUCAGCUGGGGAUUAUUCUCUUUCUUUUUUUUCUUGCUCUUUUUUUUUUUGCUUUUCUUGAACCUCAAAACUUCUUUUGAUUAUCAUUUCCAUCUCCGCCCGACAGAAAUCCUUC